GGUGCUUGCACCAAUUUGAAGAGCAGCGAACGGGUGAGUAACGCGUGGGGAAUCUGCCUUUGAGCGGGGGACAACAUUUGGAAACGAAUGCUAAUACCGCAUAAUAACUUUAAACAUAAGUUUUAAGUUUGAAAGAUGCAAUUGCAUCACUCAAAGAUGAUCCCGCGUUGUAUUAGCUAGUUGGUGAGGUAAAGGCUCACCAAGGCGAUGAUACAUAGCCGACCUGAGAGGGUGAUCGGCCACAUUGGGACUGAGACACGGCCCAAACUCCUACGGGAGGCAGCAGUAGGGAAUCUUCGGCAAUGGACGAAAGUCUGACCGAGCAACGCCGCGUGAGUGAAGAAGGUUUUCGGAUCGUAAAACUCUGUUGGUAGAGAAGAACGUUGGUGAGAGUGGAAAGCUCAUCAAGUGACGGUAACUACCCAGAAAGGGACGGCUAACUACGUGCCAGCAGCCGCGGUAAUACGUAGGUCCCGAGCGUUGUCCGGAUUUAUUGGGCGUAAAGCGAGCGCAGGUGGUUUAUUAAGUCUGGUGUAAAAGGCAGUGGCUCAACCAUUGUAUGCAUUGGAAACUGGUAGACUUGAGUGCAGGAGAGGAGAGUGGAAUUCCCUGUGUAGCGGUGAAAUGCGUAGAUAUAUGGGAGGAACACCCGGUGGCGAAAAGCGGCUCUCUGGUCCUGUAACUGACACUGAGGCUCGAAAGCGUGGGGAGCAAACAGGAUUAGAUACCGUGGUAGUCCACGCCGUAAACGAUGAGUGCUAGAUGUAGGGAGCUAUAAGUUCUCUGUAUCGCAGCUAACGCAAUAAGCACUCCGCCUGGGGAGUACGACCGCAAGGUUGAAACUCAAAGGAAUUGACGGGGGCCCGCACAAGCGGUGGAGCAUGUGGUUUAAUUCGAAGCAACGCGAAGAACCUUACCAGGUCUUGACAUACUCGUGCUAUUCCUAGAGAUAGGAAGUUCCUUCGGGACACGGGAUACAGGUGGUGCAUGGUUGUCGUCAGCUCGUGUCGUGAGAUGUUGGGUUAAGUCCCGCAACGAGCGCAACCCCUAUUGUUAGUUGCCAUCAUUAAGUUGGGCACUCUAACGAGACUGCCGGUGAUAAACCGGAGGAAGGUGGGGAUGACGUCAAAUCAUCAUGCCCCUUAUGACCUGGGCUACACACGUGCUACAAUGGAUGGUACAACGAGUCGCGAGACAGUGAUGUUUAGCUAAUCUCUUAAAACCAUUCUCAGUUCGGAUUGUAGGCUGCAACUCGCCUACAUGAAGUCGGAAUCGCUAGUAAUCGCGGAUCAGCACGCCGCGGUGAAUACGUUCCCGGGCCUUGUACACACCGCCCGUCACACCACGGGAGUUGGGAGUACCCGAAGUAGGUUGCCUAACC
rnacentral:rRNA from 1 species